rnacentral:ncRNA from 1 species
GGUAUUCGAGGGCAAACCUGCCGAAAGGCAGCGACGCAAAGCCUCCGGCCUGUCGCGUGCAAACGCUACGGUAGCGGGGUCGCCAGU